rnacentral:rRNA from 1 species
AACGAACGCUGGCGGCAGGCCUAACACAUGCAAGUCGAACGCCCUAGCAAUAGGGAGUGGCAGACGGGUGAGUAACACGUGGGAACGUGCCCUUCGGUUCGGAAUAACUCAGGGAAACUUGAGCUAAUACCGGAUAAGUGCGAGAGCAGAAAGAUUUAUCGCCGAAGGAUCGGCCCGCGUCCGAUUAGCUAGUUGGUGAGGUAAUGGCUCACCAAGGCGACGAUCGGUAGCUGGUCUGAGAGGAUGACCAGCCACACUGGGACUGAGACACGGCCCAGACUCCUACGGGAGGCAGCAGUGGGGAAUAUUGGGCAAUGGGCGCAAGCCUGAUCCAGCCAUGCCGCGUGAGUGAUGAAGGCCCUAGGGUUGUAAAGCUCUUUCGCCAGGGACGAUAAUGACGGUACCUGGAUAAGAAGCCCCGGCUAACUUCGUGCCAGCAGCCGCGGUAA